UCUUCUUCUUCUUCUGAUCUACUGGAGACAAUGAAAUAGAGGUGACCAGUGGUGGUUAUGACGAGCGUGGCGGUGGUGGUGGUGACUCCGGUGAAGACGGAUCUAAGAAGCGAUGGUGGCGGUGACUGAGGGUUUGAGAUUCGGAGGGCUUUAGUAGAGGAGGAGAUGAGAAGGUAUCUGAGAGGUUGGCGAUGUCUUUACUUUUUUUUCAGAGAAAUAAUCAAUU
rnacentral:lncRNA from 1 species